AGGACGAACGCUGGCGGCGUGCUUAACACAUGCAAGUCGAGCGGAAAGGCCCUUCGGGGUACUCGAGCGGCGAACGGGUGAGUAACACGUGAGCAACCUGCCCUUAGCUUCGGGAUAGCUCCGGGAAACCGGAAUUAAUACCGGAUAUGACUAUGGCCGACAUCAGCCAUGGUGGAAAGUUUUUCGGCUAGGGAUGGACUCGCGGCCUAUCAGCUAGUUGGUGAGGUAACGGCUCACCAAGGCGACGACGGGUAGCCGGCCUGAGAGGGCGACCGGCCACACUGGGACUGAGACACGGCCCAGACUCCUACGGGAGGCAGCAGUGGGGAAUAUUGCGCAAUGGGCGAAAGCCUGACGCAGCGACGCCGCGUGGGGGAUGAAUGCCUUCGGGUUGUAAACCCUUUCAGCAGGGACGAAGCGAAGUGACGGUACCUGCAGAAGAAGCGCCGGCUAACUACGUGCCAGCAGCCGC
rnacentral:rRNA from 1 species